AAGCAUAUCAAUAAGCGGAGGAAAAGAAACCAACAGGGAUUGCUCUAGUAACGGCGAGUGAAGCAGCAAUAGCUCAAAUUUGAAAUCUGGCGUCUUCGGCGUCCGAGUUGUAAUUUGUAGAGGAUGCUUCUGAGUGGCCACCGACCUAAGUUCCUUGGAACAGGACGUCAUAGAGGGUGAGAAUCCCGUAUGCGGUCGGAAAGGCGCUCUACACGUAGCUCCUUCGACGAGUCGAGUUGUUUGGGAAUGCAGCUCUAAAUGGGAGGUAAAUUUCUUCUAAAGCUAAAUAUUGGCCAGAGACCGAUAGCGCACAAGUAGAGUGAUCGAAAGAUGAAAAGCACUUUGGAAAGAGAGUUAAAAAGCACGUGAAAUUGUUGAAAGGGAAGGGAUUGCAACCAGACUUGCUCGCGGUGUUCCGCCGGUCUUCUGACCGGUCUACUCGCCGCGUUGCAGGCCAGCAUCGUCUGGUGCCGCUGGAUAAGACUUGAGGAAUGUAGCUCCCUCGGGAGUGUUAUAGCCUCUUGUGAUGCAGCGAGCGCCGGGCGAGGUCCGCGCUUCGGCUAGGAUGCUGGCGUAAUGGUCGUAAUCCGCCCGUCUUGAAACACGGACCAAGGAGUCUAACAUCUAUGCGAGUGUUCGGGUGUCAAACCCCUACGCGUAAUGAAAGUGAACGGAGGUGAGAACCGCAAGGUGCAUCAUCGACCGAUCCUGAUGUCUUCGGAUGGAUUUGAGUAUGAGCAUAGCUGUUGGGACCCGAAAGAUGGUGAACUAUGCCUGAAUAGGGUGAAGCCAGAGGAAACUCUGGUGGAGGCUCGCAGCGGUUCUGACGUGCAAAUCGAUCGUCAAAUUUGGGUAUAGGGGCGAAAGACUAAUCGAACCAUCUAGUAGCUGGUUCCUGCCGA
rnacentral:rRNA from 1 species